rnacentral:rRNA from 1 species
GACGAACGCUGGCGGCGUGCCUAACACAUGCAAGUCGAACGGAAAUUAUCAAUGAAGCUUGCGAUUUGAUAAUUUUAGUGGCGAACGGGUGAGUAACGCGUGGGUAACCUGCCCUUAAGACCGGAACAACAGCUGGAAACGGCUGCUAAUGCCGGAUGCAUUUAUCUGAAGGCAUCUUCGGAUAAAGAAAGCUGGCCUCUGAACAUGCUGGCGCUUAGGGAUGGACCCGCGUCUGAUUAGCUGGUUGGUGGGGUAACGGCCUACCAAGGCGACGAUCAGUAGCCGGCCUGAGAGGGUAAACGGCCACACUGGGACUGAGACACGGCCCAGACUCCUACGGGAGGCAGCAGUGGGGAAUCUUCCGCAAUGGACGAAAGUCUGACGGAGCAACGCCGCGUGUAUGAAGAAGGCCUUCGGGUUGUAAAAUACUGUUGUCGGGGAAGAACGGCUCAUAUGAGAAUAUUGUAUGAGAUUGACGGUACCCGACGAGGAAGCCCCGGCUAACUACGUG